GACGAACCGUGCGAACGUUGUUCGGAAUCACUGGGCUUAAAGGGCGCGUAGGCGGGCUGCCAAGUCUGGGGUGAAAUCCUCCGGCUCAACCGGAGAACGGCCUCGGAUACUGGCGGUCUCGAGGGAGGUAGGGGCGUGCGGAACUAAGGGUGGAGCGGUGAAAUGCGUAGAUAUCUGGAGGAACACCGGUGGCGAAGGCGGCAUCCUGGACCAAUAUUGACGCUGAGGAGCGAAAGCCAGGGGAGCAAACGGG
rnacentral:rRNA from 1 species